rnacentral:sRNA from 1 species
AGAAAAGAUGGCAGAGGGAGGGUGAACCCAGGGCCCAUCUGUGGGUAUGGGCUCCAAUUUCCUAAAUUGUUUGUGGUUAUAACCAUGGCUUCCACCUUGUCUGGCACCGGGUCCACAUCUUUUAGGUCAGAGCCCUAGAGAAUAAGAGAAGCUUGCUGCUGGUGAGGGGGUAUGGCCAGGAUUCCUGGAGUCGGAAGAGCUUCUGCUUCACCAUCUUGGGAGAAGAAGGAAGAAAGUGAAAGCGAUGUGGUCCUUCUUAGUCCCAAGGACCCUGACAGAGGACACGCAGAGGAGCAGCUGGCUUGCCCGGAGUCCUCCGACCUUGACCCAAGCAUGCAGGGCCCACCCCACAGCCUCCCUGCUGGGCUCAGCCUGGACGACUUCAUCCCUGGCCACCUCCAGUCCCACAUAGGGUCUUCCUCCCGGGGGACACGGGUGCCCGUGAUCCGGAAUGGUGGCUCCAACACCCUUAAUUUCCAGUUCCACGACCCCGCGCCCAGGACUGUGUGCAAUGGGGGCUACACACCAAGACGAGAUGCUUCCCAGCACCCGG